UGGAUCCAGACUUUGAUUAUGGCUCAGGAUGAACGCUAGCUACAGGCUUAACACAUGCAAGUCGAGGGGCAGCAUGAACUUAGCUUGCUAAGUUUGAUGGCGACCGGCGCACGGGUGAGUAACACGUAUCCAACCUUCCGUUUACUCAGGGAUAGCCUUUCGAAAGAAAGAUUAAUACCUGAUAGUAUGGUGAGAUUGCAUGAUAACACCAUUAAAGAUUUAUUGGUAAACGAUGGGGAUGCGUUCCAUUAGGUAGUAGGCGGGGUAACGGCCCACCUAGCCUGCGAUGGAUAGGGGUUCUGAGAGGAAGGUCCCCCACAUUGGAACUGAGACACGGUCCAAACUCCUACGGGAGGCAGCAGUGAGGAAUAUCGGUCAAUGGGCGAGAGCCUGAACCAGCCAAGUAGCGUGAAGGAUGGAGGCCCUACGGAUUGUAAACUUCUUUUAUACGGGAAUAAAGUAUCCUACGUGUAGGAUUUUGUAUGUACCGUAUGAAUAAGCAUCGGCUAACUCCGUGCCAGCAGCCGCGGUAAUACGGAGGAUGCGAGCGUUAUCCGGAUUUAUUGGGUUUAAAGGGAGCGCAGACGGGAGAUUAAGUCAGUUGUGAAAGUUUGCGGCUCAACCGUAAAAUUGCAGUUGAUACUGGUUUCCUUGAGUGCAGUUGAGGCAGGCGGAAUUCGUGGUGUAGCGGUGAAAUGCUUAGAUAUCACGAAGAACCCCGAUUGCGAAGGCAGCUUGCUAAACUGUAACUGACGUUCAUGCUCGAAAGUGUGGGUAUCAAACAGGAUUAGAUACCCUGGUAGUCCACACGGUAAACGAUGGAUACUCGCUGUUGGCGAUAUACUGUCAGCGGCCAAGCGAAAGCAUUAAGUAUCCCACCUGGGGAGUACGCCGGCAACGGUGCAACUCAAAGGAAUUGACGGA
rnacentral:rRNA from 1 species